AUGGCCAAGCGAUGGUGGUGGCUGACGAUGGCCAAGUAUUUUACUAUGAUGUUGGAUGGAACGGCUCGGACCUUGUUGAAGGGAUUGCCACCCAAUUCUAUCGGCUCAUGGGCAGAGUUGAAAGCACGGUUCAUCCAGAACUUUAAGGACACGUGUAAGCAGCCAAUGUCGAUUGUGGACCUGACCAAUUGCAAGCAAGAGGAUGGUGAAUCUACAACCCAUUGGAUACGCCGGGUCAAGGAGAUAAUACAUUCAUCUGAUAAGAUGGAUGCCGGCUCAACAGUUUUGAUGUUGGAGAAAAAUUGUCGCUUUGAACCUCUGAAGCAGAAGUUGGGGCGGCUUAAACAUGACUAUAAUGACAUGGGAACGUUGAUGGCAGCUCUUGUCAAGUAUGUCGAUUCUGAUACCACCAAGGACCCGGUUUCUGACGAAGAAAAGGCAACGAAGGGAAAGAAGAACGGCAAUGGCAAGGGUCAUCAGCAUAACCCGGUGAAUCAGGGAGGUAAUAAACGUAAGGCUGAUGAGUUUGUUGCUAAUACUAAUGCGCAUGGUGGUAAUCAGUGGCGCAAGGGCAGACAACCCCCUCGAUCGGGCGGGUCAGGCCCCACCCUUGAGUAG
rnacentral:rRNA from 1 species